AUGGAGGGAGCAGGAGAGAAAUAGAGAGAGGGUGACAGAACUAGAGAGCCAGAGCAUUAAAGCCUGGGAGAGGGAGCUCUCUGCUCUCGUAGACAGGGCUCCUUCCAGCAGGGGUAGGGUGGAGGGUGCUUGAGCCUGGCGGGAACAGGUGGGCAGGCCGCCCAUGCAAGAGGACCAACAGAACCCUGAGACGUAUUUUUGCUUGGAUUGGUUGCUUGCUUUUGGGGUGCGUUUCAUAGGGUCCUUUUGUUGGCUACUCCCUAUCUUCUUGGUGCAGUGGGCACCGAGAUUUGGAGAGUGCGUCCUUCCCUCUGGUGGGAGCCCUGGCGCAGAGCGUGCCGACCGGGCCGAGGCCUGGGUCUCUCUCGUGUCCUCAGGACUGGAGUUGACACGAAGACGGUGCCAAUGGGAAUCCGGGUGCACAGAGACGGAUUGCCUCGUGACUGGCGAAGGCAAUGUCCUUCCCCUGGGGAAAGCAGCCCAUAGGUCCAGGAGCAGAGGUUUUGGAUGGUGUCUGUGGGACCUCUGUCCCUGGCCGCCACUUCCCCCACCGGCUUGAACUAUUGCAUGGUGCCAGAUGAGUAAAUUGAAUUGCCUGGGCGUCCCGGGAGCGUGAAGACACGGGUCACCUCAGGGAACAUAUACCGUCCUGCCACGGCUGGAGCCGGGCACCUGGUGGGGCUGCAGCAAGAAGGAGGAUGUGGGAUGCUGUUGCCUGGCGGUGCUGCAGCGGUGGAACCCCACGAGGAGGUCCCGGGUUGCUUUGGGGCCGCAGUACUCCCUUCAGCAUUCCUUGUAGGACAGUCAUGGUAUUGAUGAAAUCCUUCAACUUUUGUUUGUCUGGAAAAGUCAGUAUUUCUUCUUAUUAUUUGAAGGACAUUUUCGCUGUAUAUGCUAUUCUAAGGAUUUGUCGCUGAUGCCUUACUUCAUUCACUUUGUGAGGUCAUGUUUUCCUGGAUGGUGACAAUGCUAGCAGAUGUUCUUCAGUGUCUGGACAUUAAAACUUUGGCAUGCAGCACCACAUAAGAUGUGAAAAAAAGAUUUUUUUUAAAAAAAAGAUGAGCAUUAAUUGUAGACUUCACUGUGUGGGGUUAUUCGUAGCUAUCUUUCUUGGGAAGGAUUUCCACAUAUUUGAAAAGGCAGGUGUUGUGAUCUAAGCCAUAUCUGCUUUAGGGGGCACCGUAUACCCAAUAGUGCUGUAAUUUUUGCAGUCUCAUUGAUGUACCACCUUGACAGUCUUGGACAAUAUCCAGGAAAAUUUUCUGGAUUAGUAGCCAGAGACUCUUGUUCUCUAACCUUAUUUUCCCUCAAAGAUACAGAGUCUUUCUCUCUAUUCUAAGCCACCUAAAGUUGGGAGGAGAAUGACACGAGCACCCCUGGCCGCCACCACUGGCUGCCCUGGGUCAGACCUGAAGCUGGCAUAGCACCGGGUCUUGCUCAAGUCCUGCUGCACGCACUUUCUGACAACUGUCUAUGUUCACUCAAGGCCUUUGGUCUCUGCAAUUAGCAGGUGGCAAAGCCAGCCAUAUCUGUGCUCUUUCCUUCAGGGCAGCGAGUUUCCUCAGUCCCUGGCUGGGUCCAGAAGUGCCAUUCGGAAGUCAGGGAGUAAAGUCAAAAAUUUCAGAAGUCCACCGGACAUUCUAUUGCAUUCCAGCUGAGCUGGCAUUCAAACCACAAGACACAGCCCUUCCUAUUACCUCCUUUCCUUUUCCAAAGGCAGAGUAGCCCCAAGCACCCCAGGCCACAAGGAGUACUGCCAUGUUACCACCUUUGUUCCUUUAAGGCCCAAAUCCUCUUUUCCGCUUGUGAUGAAUAUUGCCUGGACUGGGACUUGCCGUUUUCAGGCCACUGGUCUCCCCACUGGCCCUGGGCAGGUUCAUAUAUGCCAACCAAGAAUCAAGUCCUAGAAUCAGGGAUCCCAAAACCUUUCUUGGUGCUCUACCCACCUCUGGCCUUGCCGGUACUUAAGUGGCAUGAAAAAGUCCCCUUUACUUUUCCCUCUGCCUUUCCCAAGCAAAAGGAGUUUUGCCCCUUAGAUACCACAGCUUGUAAUGUGCUGAAUCUCACCUAAAUCUAGUAAGUCUAUGAGGCUCACACAAGCCUCUUGAUGUAGUAUCUGGGUAUGGCUGCUGGUUAUUCAGGGCCCAAAGGUUGUUAAGUUUGCAGGUGAUAAAUGCUGCCAGCACUGGGUUCUUUCCUUCAAGGCAGCAGGUUUCCUUCUGGCCCGGGGUGUGUCUUGGAAUGUCUAGGAGCCAGAGCCUGGAAAGGAGGACUCAGGACUCUGACCAGUGCACUAUCUUGCUGUGGUUGAGCUGGUAUCCAGGAUGGAAGACAAAGUCCUCCCUACUCUUUUUCCUCCUCUCCUCAAGCAGAAGGAUGGGGUCCCUUUUGGAGCUAUAAGCUGUGCAGCCUGGUAUUAGGAGAGUGAUAAUUCCAGAACCCCUUUGGCUGCCCCAGCUGGUGUCUCAGUAUGUUGCAUGACCUCCCACCUUAGUUGACUGUUCCUGGGUCCAGUUCAGCCCUAGGCCUCACCUAAGAGUUGCAGUCCUGAUGGCCUAGGCUGCCUUUCAAGUUUUCUUAGAUACAUGGAGCUCUGGAGCCCUCAGUACCCAGAUUUCCAAAUGCUCAAGUUCCAACCACCGAAAUCUCAUUCCCCUCUGGCCAGGGCUGGUUUAAAUAAUCCCUCUGUGGAUGGGCUUUAGCUGCAUUUGGUUUGGUUUUCCUUUCUGGUCUAACAGGGCAGCACAGAGUUCAAUGUCUUAAAAUUUCUG
rnacentral:lncRNA from 1 species